UGCCAGCAGCCGCGGUAAUACGUAGGGUGCGAGCGUUAAUCGGAAUUACUGGGCGUAAAGCGUGCGCAGGCGGUUUUUCAAGUCUGAUGUGAAAGCCCCGGGCUUAACCUGGGAACUGCGUUGGAAACUGAAAGACUAGAGUGCGGCAGAGGGGGGUAGAAUUCCACGUGUAGCAGUGAAAUGCGUAGAUAUGUGGAGGAAUACCGAUGGCGAAGGCAGCCCCCUGGGUCGACACUGACGCUCAUGCACGAAAGCGUGGGUAGCAAACAGGAUUAGAUACCCUGGUAGUCCACGCCCUAAACGAUGUCAACUAGUUGUUGGGGAGGGAGACCUCCUUAGUAACGCAGCUAACGCGUGAAGUUGACCGCCUGGGGAGUACGGUCGCAAGAUUAAAACUCAAAGGAAUUGACGG
rnacentral:rRNA from 1 species